rnacentral:lncRNA from 1 species
UACGCUAUCACUAUUCUUCAAUUUCCAAAAUCUUGCACUUCUGAGCCAAGGAAUUUUCGUGAUUCAUCAUUGUUAAGUUGAACUUUUGUAGGUCUUGUUUACAUACCCAACUAUACCCGCAGCUCUUCACCUUCGUACCCACAUCCCUAAUAAUUUCAACACAGGUAGGGACAAAAACAAGAUGAUCAUCGGGCGACUGAAAUUAAAACCUUUACUCGAGCCUUCUGUUUCUUCAGUAGAAUUAGAUAUGCUGUUUGUCUCAGAUGCAAUUGCAACCUCUUCAACAUGUGCUGCGACAGGUGUUUGUUCUUCUUGCACUUCUUCAGUUACAUCUACUAAUAGAGGAUCCAAAGUUAAAGAAAACUAUAACGAUGUCUUUCAAUUGCUUUGGUUGCAUAAAAUUGAUUGAUGCAGACCGUGUAGAAAAUGAAAUGGGUACUAGAUCAUGCAAUAUGUGGUUUAUACAUAACAAAUUCAGAAAACAUGCGAUCAAUUUCAAUUGAUUAACCAAAAGUCAUUGAGCCAAGCAGGACUUGAAAAUUAAUAGAGCAUAACCUUUAUUCAUGCUGCCCUCAGGAGAUGAAUCACCACUUUGUCCGGCCAAACUAGCAUCAAUCUCAUUGUUAUCUAGAACAUCUUCAACAUUGUCAUCUACUUGAAACGGAAAGGAAAUAUUAUUCGGAAUAUGACAUACAAUCAAUAGUUCCAUAUGUAAAUUAUGAAUGCGAUAAAUUAGCAGAAAAAGCGUGAGAUAAAAAAAGAAAAACCUUCUGAUUCUGUGAUAACAUGGCAAGGCUCAACUGCAUCACUGUCUGUCUGUGUUGCAGCGGAAUCAUCUUCCUUUCCAUUAUCGAUAUGUGAUUGUUGUUCAUAUUCGGCAACAAUUUGAUCAACUACAUUUUCUGUUACACUUUCAUCAGCCACUUCAACUGUAGAGGUUUGAGAUUUAUUUCUGUGGAUGACAUGAAUGCAGAUUUCAGUGAUAAAGUGUUCCUUAAAAUGUUGUCUAUGGACUAUGAGUCACAGACACCGGACACGGCACGGAUACAACCUAGCUAACACAAAUUUAAAACCCCCACCCCGUAAAUCAUAAAAUCAGUCUAAAAAAUAAUAAUAUAAAGUUAACAAAAUUCUUUUGAAUUAUCUUCAGUACCUCUGCUAGCGGUUGACAACAAAGAUUGUUUUUCCGGUCGACUUGUUAUCACUUGUUGACAUUUAAAAAUUAUAAAUCUUAUGUAAGAAUUCAACGAUAUGUCCAAACUCCUUGUUCUACCCAGGGACAAGAUAUCCAAUAUGAUAACAUUGCAUUGUCUCAUUUUUUAAAAUUAGUAUUGGUGUCAACAUGUCAAUAUAUUUGUGUCGAGUUAUGUGUCCGUGUCAGUGUUUCAUAUAAUUUACCCAAAAAAGAAAACUUAUAAAAAAUUCAAACUCAAUUUAUUUUUGAACAAGGAACUCAAUUAUUGAAAUUAAAAAAAAAAAAACUUACUUUAAAAAUCCAAACGUGUUAGGUUGAAACUCUUCUUGACCUUCUUGUGAUCCAUCUGUUGUUUCUUCUUUCUUCGAAGUAGUUAUGACUUGUGAGAUGAAUGAUUCUUGUUCUGGUUGUGGUUGUGUCUCGCCUUCAAUUGCCAUAAUCUUACACUUCUGAGCCAAGGAAUUUUCAUGAUUCAUCAUUGUGAAGUUGAACUUUUGUAGGUCUUGUUUACAUACCCAACGAUACCCGCAACUUUUCACCUCAAAACCCACAACUUCACCCUGAUAACAUUUCGCACGGAGAGUUCCAUAAACAUCAUAGGACUCUCGGGGGAAG